ACCAAACAACAGGAGCACACCCCGCCGCGAGGAUUCGAACCGCCGACCUUUCGAUCGGCAAGCCCUAGGCACUGAGGCUUUUACCCACAGCACCACCCACGUCCCAUGAAAACCCUAAGUACAGUACACCAUAUGACAGAGCUUUUAGCAGGGAUGUUAGUCUCCUUUAUUUUUAAAAGUGGAAAUGCUUCUAGUCCUGGACAGUUUACACAUGUAGGCUUCAAAAUGAAUGCUGAAAGUAUUUCUCAGUGCUGGGAAAUCAAAUAUCAGGCAGUAGCCUCCAGAGUGCUUCAGUGCAGUACUGUACUAGGAAGCCUGUGCAGAUGGUUCUGUAACAGUAGUUCAUCCAGCACAGAAAUUCAAGUCUAGAGUAUGGCUUAUGUUACUCUUCCCAUCACCGCUGUUGUUCACUCCUUUUGCACAGCUUUUUUUUUAAUGGGAUAUUUUCCAAUGCAACUAGGAAAAGAAGCUGCAGAAAACCAAGGCAGACAACUUUCUCAAGGAAUUACAAUUUGCAAAGGAAAACACAAUUCAGACAAUAUGGUCCAGAUGAGGAUGUCUCCCUGCCACAUCUUAAUCCAUCUUAAAAAUGGAAGAUCGGAGGUGAAAGAUAGUGACUUCAAACACUGUGAUUUAGCUGCAAUGAACAACCUAAGGCUUCCGCACUCCAUGUUUCCCACAUGCUUACAAACUGGACUGCACUGACUGAAUUGAUGAAUUAAUCAGAUAUUGGUAUGGCAGCACAGUAGCCAAUGACAACCUCCUUACUUUAGUGCAAUUAACCUCACCUUUACCCGUAAUGCAUCCAUCUUUUGAAUAUGCUUGCAGUAUCAUGAAAUAAUAAUUCAAGAAAAUAGUAUGUACUGUACUUAUUCAGCAUUUAAACUUGGGAGACUGGUGCCAGCUUAGUCCCAAGAUCAUAUUCUUCAGUGAUAUUAGGAUGUUCUGAGGCUUUGCAAGCCCAGACAGGAAUUCGUCAUCUAUUUACACUUCCCUGGUAAUGGCAUAAUCCUAAUCAGCUAGUGAGGUGAAUUCAUUUGCAUCCCAACAAAAAACGGAAGUUGCACAACAUGACCUCUUCCUAGUCACCUAAGUGACCUGUCACUUAGAGGGCUGAAUGUAGCUGAGAGGCCUAAGCACGUUUACUUGGGAUAAACAGCAAAUAGUUUGACAGUUUAGAUCUUCCAUCUGUUAAAAAAGAGAAUAUGCUCCUUUUCCCCACCCCUCUUGUUUUGUUUUCGAGGAGUCCUAUGUUUCAAGGCGAUAUUCUAAAUAACCUUUUGAAAUACCUGUUGUUGUUGAAAAAGAAAUCUAUGAACGGUAUAAUCUUUAC
rnacentral:lncRNA from 1 species